AAGUCCGAGCGGAUGAAGGGAGCUUGCUCCUGGAUUCAGCGGCGGACGGGUGAGUAAUGCCUAGGAAUCUGCCUGGUAGUGGGGGAUAACGUCCGGAAACGGGCGCUAAUACCGCAUACGUCCUGAGGGAGAAAGUGGGGGAUCUUCGGACCUCACGCUAUCAGAUGAGCCUAGGUCGGAUUAGCUAGUUGGUGGGGUAAAGGCCUACCAAGGCGACGAUCCGUAACUGGUCUGAGAGGAUGAUCAGUCACACUGGAACUGAGACACGGUCCAGACUCCUACGGGAGGCAGCAGUGGGGAAUAUUGGACAAUGGGCGAAAGCCUGAUCCAGCCAUGCCGCGUGUGUGAAGAAGGUCUUCGGAUUGUAAAGCACUUUAAGUUGGGAGGAAGGGCAGUAAGUUAAUACCUUGCUGUUUUGACGUUACCAACAGAAUAAGCACCGGCUAACUUCGUGCCAGCAGCCGCGGUAAUACGAAGGGUGCAAGCGUUAAUCGGAAUUACUGGGCGUAAAGCGCGCGUAGGUGGUUCAGCAAGUUGGAUGUGAAAUCCCCGGGCUCAACCUGGGAACUGCAUCCAAAACUACUGAGCUAGAGUACGGUAGAGGGUGGUGGAAUUUCCUGUGUAGCGGUGAAAUGCGUAG
rnacentral:rRNA from 1 species